rnacentral:lncRNA from 1 species
AUGUCACUGAAAAAAGUAAAUGAACUCAGCUUGAAAGUGAUAGAGGGCUUCAUUACCAAUGCUGCUUCCAAAUUGUUUGAGCAAGAAAUACGUGAAGUGGCGAGUUUAUGGAUUAGGAAUGGGUGUUCCUGAUGAAUCCAGUUAUGGUUAAAAGUUUUGAGUCUGAAAACAUGAAUCUAAAACAGAUUUAUAUUUGUUUUCUGCAUUUGGUUUGUUUUCCUAAUUGGGUAUUUCGGCUUCUAGUAUGGGUUUCUCUGGUUCUCAUAAUUUUUGGUUAUUUCGUUUGCUCUCUCCUAGCCCUGUAUGCUAGUAAAAAUUAUUCCUUAGUGCUGCAAUUUUCUAUGAAUUGCAUGAUUUUCCAAAGAGGAAUCAUAUCCUAUAAAAAGGGAAAGAAAAAAAGAGAGGAAUAAAAGUUUGUUGAGAUGUGUGUGUGUGUGUGUGUGUGCCUGCGCAUAUGUACAUAUAUAUAUAUAGAGAGAGAGAGAGAGAGAGAGAGAGAGAGAGAGAGAGAGGUGCAUGUUUUUGAUCCCCUGCACGAGUUUGUCAUUGUUCUUUGUUUUCAUUGGUUAUUUAAGUAACAAAUAAGUAACAGCAUUCAACCCAAAAUUACUUUUGCGAUUUCUAUGUCAUAUUUAUAUCUUGCUUUAUGUGUGUGCUCAAAUUAUCUGUUCCUUCAAUUUUUGCUUUGCCAAUGGUUCUGCAAAUUCAGCCUGUCACCCCAGCCUACCCCUUGUUGGUUGCUUGACUGUCAAAGCUUUGCUUAGUUCUAGAUUCCCUUUGUACUGAAAUAGGGAGCUAAAUGUAUGGUUCUUUCUGAAGCCUAUGUAUGUAUUUAUAUGGCGAAGCUUAUAUUGAGUGAUGAAGUAAUGAUUUAUUCAUAGGAGAAUCAAGAAUGAGCUUAGUUAAUUUGAAUAAGAUUCCCCUGAAACGUGUCCAGAGGCCUGCUAUAUUUAAUUUGGUUUUCUUCUUUCUCCUUUUAUCUUGUGUAGAAGAUAAUUAAAAUGGGUAUGAAAACAUUCAUCUCGCUCCUUUCUGGCAGGUAGAAAUGAGAAAGAAUGACAUGCUUUGCUGCCAUGGCCCCUCAAGAGAAGAAUUUUCAAUAUCAAGAUGGAUGAGUGAUAUUCUUUCCUGUUCCUAA